CCUACGGGGGACAGCAGUCGAGAAUCAUUCACAAUGGGGGAAACCCUGAUGGUGCGACGCCGCGUGGGGGAAUGAAGGUCUUCGGAUUGUAAACCCCUGUCAUGUGGGAGCAAAUUAAAAAGAUAGUACCACAAGAGGAAGAGACGGCUAACUCGGUGCCAGCAGCCGCGGUAAUACAGAGGUCUCAAGCGUUGUUCGGAAUCACUGGGCGUAAAGCGUGCGUAGGCUGUUUCGUAAGUCGUGUGUGAAAGGCGCGGGCUCAACCCGCGGACGGCACAUGAUACUGCGAGACUAGAGUAAGGGAGGGGGAACCGGAAUUCUCGGUGUAGCAGUGAAAUGCGUAGAUAUCGAGAGGAACACUCGUGGCGAAGGCGGGUUCCUGGACAUUAACUGACGCUGAGGCACGAAGGCCAGGGGAGCGAAAGGGAUUAGAUACCCGAGUAGUC
rnacentral:rRNA from 1 species